GACGAACGCUGGCGGCGUGCUUAACACAUGCAAGUCGAACGGAAAGGCCCUGCUUGCAGGGUACUCGAGUGGCGAACGGGUGAGUAACACGUGGGUGAUCUGCCCUGCACUUCGGGAUAAGCUUGGGAAACUGGGUCUAAUACCGGAUAGGAACCAUCUUUAGUGUGGUGGUUGGAAAGUUUUUUCGGUGUAGGAUGAGCUCGCGGCCUAUCAGCUUGUUGGUGGGGUAAUGGCCUACCAAGGCGGCGACGGGUAGCCGGCCUGAGAGGGUGUACGGCCACAUUGAGACUGAGAUACGGCCCAGACUCCUACGGGAGGCAGCAGUGGGGAAUAUUGCACAAUGGGCGCAAGCCUGAUGCAGCGACGCCGCGUGGGGGAUGAAGGCCUUCGGGUUGUAAACUCCUUUCGCUAGGGACGAAGCGUUGUUGUGACGGUACCUAGAGAAGAAGCACCGGCUAACUACGUG
rnacentral:rRNA from 1 species